AGACUGAAAGUAAGAGUUGGAGGGAACUGAACUCUUGUUCUAUGUUUCUUCACGAGUUCAGUUUUCUCCAACAUCUUAUCUUCAGCGC
rnacentral:pre_miRNA from 1 species